CAUUUUUCAGUUUCUAGUAUCAAAAGGUAGGUAAGGAAAUUAAACACUUACUUUAGAAGGAAUUUAGAACCAGCACAAAAACUUCUGUGGAAACUUAAGCACUUUCAAAGCAGUUGACAAUAAACACAUCUAGGUAAGACCCAUUCUCUCCCCCAGUAACUGAGACAAAAUAAUCAAAAUGAGAACAGUGUUCCUCUUUUGAACACCUUCUUUUAAUGUAAACUCUCACAAGUCAACCAACUUACGCAUGUACUUUUACUGCAGUUUGUUUAGGAAUACAACUACAAAUUGAGUUCAAAGUUACUUAAGCAGAAAUUGGAACUCAGCUUUCCAGCUUGGAAAACUUUGGCCUAGAUGAAGAAAGAAGCUGAAUUUUUUUUUUUUUUAAUAAAAGGG